rnacentral:hammerhead_ribozyme from 1 species
AUCUAGCUGACGGUACCAAAUAGAAUGAAACGCGCGUCCUGGAU